rnacentral:rRNA from 1 species
UUCUUUUUGGGAGUAUAAAAAGUAAUUUCUGCUCAUGAUAUAUAAUUAAAUAGCUGCAUUUUGUACUAAGGUAGCAUAAUAAAUUGUUCAUUAAUUGUGAACUGGAAUGAAGGAAAAAAUGGUUUAAAACUGUCUUAAAUUUAUAAAUUGAAUUUAAACUUUUUGUAAAAAUGCAAAAAUAUAUUUUAGGGACAAGAAGACCCUAUAAAGCUUGUUUGGUUUUAAUUAUAGAUAUAUGUAUAUAUAUUGAAUCAAUUUGAUUGGGGCAAUAAUUUAUGAAUGAUUAAUAUAAAUUUAAAUUUAAUGCUAAUACAUAUUAGAAUGAUCCAUUAUUAAUGAAAAAUGAUUAAGUUACUUUAGGGAUAACAGGAUAAUUUUUAUUAGAAAGUUCUUAUUAAUAAUAAAGUUUAUUACCUCGAUGUUGAAUUAAUUUAAUUUAAUGGUGAAGCAACUGUUUGAGUUUGACUGUUCGUCAAUUAAAUAAUUACA